AUCGAUGAAGAACGCAGCGAAAUGCGAUAAGUAAUGUGAAUUGCAGAAUUCAGUGAAUCAUCGAAUCUUUGAACGCACAUUGCGCCCCGUGGUAUUCCGCGGGGCAUGCCUGUUCGAGCGUCAUUUCAACCCAUCAAGCUUCUGCUUGGUCUUGGGGCUUGCGGUUUCGCAUCCUCUAAACUCAGUGGCGGUGCUAUUGAGCUCUGAGCGUAGUAAUUUUAUCUCGCUAUAGGGUCUCGGUGGUUACUUGCCAGCAACCCCCAAUUUUUAUCAGGUUGACCUCGGAUCAGGUAGGGAUACCCGCUGAACUUAAGCAUAUCAAUAAGCGGAGGAAAAGAAACCAACAGGGAUUACCUCAGUAACGGCGAGUGAAGCGGUAACAGCUCAAAUUUGAAAUCUGCCGCAAGGCCGAGUUGUAAUUUGUAGAAGAUGCUUUGGGUAUGGCCCCGGUCUAAGUUCGUUGGAACACGACGUCAUAGAGGGUGAGAAUCCCGUAUGUGACUGGGUGCUUUUGCCUAUGUAAAGCUCUUUCGACGAGUCGAGUUGUUUGGGAAUGCAGCUCAAAAUGGGUGGUAUAUUUCAUCUAAAGCUAAAUAUUGGCCAGAGACCGAUAGCGCACAAGUAGAGUGAUCGAAAGAUGAAAAGCACUUUGGAAAGAGAGUUAAACAGUACGUGAAAUUGUUGAAAGGGAAGCGCUUGCAACCAGACUUGCACGCUGUUGAUCAUCCAGGCUUCUGUUUGGUGCACUCAACUGUGUUCAGGCCAGCAUCGGUUUUGGUGGUGGGAUAAAGGCCUUGGGAAUGUAGCUUCUUUCGGGGAGUGUUAUAGCCCUCGGUGCAAUGCCGCCUACUGGGACCGAGGACCGCGCUUCGGCUAGGAUGCUGGCGUAAUGGUUGUAAGCGACCCGUCUUGAAACACGG
rnacentral:rRNA from 1 species